GACGUAGGGCGCGAGCGUUGUCCGGAUUUAUUGGGCGUAAAGAGCUCGUAGGCGGCUUGUCGCGUCGUCCGUGAAAAACUUGGGGGCUCAACCCCAAGCUUGCGGUCGAUACGGGCAGGCUCGAGUUCGGUAGGGGAGGACUGGAAUUCCUGGUGUAGCGGUGAAAAUGCGCAGAUAUCAGGAGGAACACCGGUGGCGAAGGCGGGUCUCUGGGCCGAUACUGACGCUGAGGAGCGAAAGCGUGGGAGCGAACAGG
rnacentral:rRNA from 1 species